rnacentral:tRNA from 1 species
AUAAUUAUUUGGUGAAAAUCUCUUCAAUGGCAUUGAAGAGGUCAGCGGUUCGAACCCGCUAUGCUCCACCA